CAGGCCCAGUUAUUGGAACAACACAAAAUAUUAGAUAACAAAGCUAAGGAUCGUAGGCCUAACACGUAAUGAUUCUAUUUAUUUGCUUUUAUUCAUUCGUGUUUUGUAGCUCAAAUUUUGAGUCUUCAAGCUCAGCUAGGGGAAAAGAACAAAUUGGAACUGAACAGUUUCCAAACAGUGACGGAGGUUUUUCAAAACUCAUCCCUAACUGAAUGUGAGGAUGAGUUGGCAUUAGGCGAACACAGCCAGUUAUUCAGUCCACCACCUGACAGUGUGUUAAAUUUAAAUUCUGUUAGUGCUGCUCUAAAAGAAUCGUUAGUAAUAAGCUCAUGCAGUGAAGGAACUGAACAAUUGUGGGACCGUAUUUGGGCCGAAAAUGGAUGUGGUACAGAAACCCAGAAAUGGCACAAGUUCAACAUGAAACAUGGAUUAGAUUUUAACGGGGGAUCAAAUCAAGUCUGGAAGUGUUACAGGAUGGAAGAGUGAGCCUACAGAUGAAAAAACACUGAGAGUGCAUUACCGUAAGGUGUGAGGUAAAUUAAUA